UGCAGUCGAGCGGUAGAGAGGUGCUUGCACCUCUUGAGAGCGGCGGACGGGUGAGUAAAGCCUAGGAAUCUGCCUGGUAGUGGGGGAUAACGCUCGGAAACGGACGCUAAUACCGCAUACGUCCUACGGGAGAAAGCAGGGGACCUUCGGGCCUUGCGCUAUCAGAUGAGCCUAGGUCGGAUUAGCUAGUUGGUGAGGUAAUGGCUCACCAAGGCGACGAUCCGUAACUGGUCUGAGAGGAUGAUCAGUCACACUGGAACUGAGACACGGUCCAGACUCCUACGGGAGGCAGCAGUGGGGAAUAUUGGACAAUGGGCGAAAGCCUGAUCCAGCCAUGCCGCGUGUGUGAAGAAGGUCUUCGGAUUGUAAAGCACUUUAAGUUGGGAGGAAGGGCAUUAACCUAAUACGUUAGUGUUUUGACGUUACCGACAGAAUAAGCACCGGCUAACUCUGUGCCAGCAGCCGCGGUAAUACAGAGGGUGCAAGCGUUAAUCGGAAUUACUGGGCGUAAAGCGCGCGUAGGUGGUUCGUUAAGUUGGAUGUGAAAUCCCCCGGGCUCAACCUGGGAACUGCAUUCAAAACUGUCGAGC
rnacentral:rRNA from 1 species